ensembl:lncRNA
AUUGUGGACAGGGUUAGCAUAGGACAUUCGCUGUUCCCAGACAGCGAAUCUCAGCGACUUUGGUGAUCCAGUGUCUGAGACCUAUUAAUGUGAGUAUCAUUUUAUGUGGCCCAAUGAUGAAAAUCGAGUAUCAAAGCACUAAAAGUUGUACCUAAUCACACUUUUAUAUUCAGUUUUAAGCUGCUUUUCUGGCGAAGUUACUGUUCAGGGGAUUCUCAGAACAACAUUUCCAUGUCACUGUGUACAGUAUUUUCCUGAGGUGGCUUUGCUGGAUAUAAACCAGAGUAACCACAGUCUAAUAGGAGCCGUGUGUGUUGGUUGUUGUGUGUGCACGAACACAUUCCUGAACAUAGCAUCAGUCGGUGGAGUCUUUACUACUAUCAAACAUCCGUCUCUUCAACCUCUCCUCUGAUUCAAACCAUGUUUACGUCCUAAUCUCCAUUUUUUUCUUUUCAUUUCUUUCCUUUAAUUUGUCUUUCCUUUUUAAACUUUGUUUCUUUCUUCAUUCUGCCUCGUUCCUUUGUUAGUUUUGUUUCCAUUUUAGCUUUCUUUACCUCUAAUUGCUCCUUCUUUGUUUUCCUACUCCUUGAACGUCUUGACUGACUUAUGAAGGAUGUAAAAGCUUAAAUAUAACAGCCGUCAGGCCACACACACACUUCUUUUCAUGGCUGUAACUCAAAAUGUUUACUCUGCUACAGUUUGUCUUGAGUAAAAUCAGCGGCAGACUUUGCGUUUUAUCGUGGCUUUUCCCCUCCCUGCUCUCUCUCUCCCUUCUCAUGUCCUCCACUCACUAACCCCGCUAACCAGGUGAACAAACAUACAAGAUAAGGCCACAUUUUUCAGGGUCAGUCUUUGGCUUUCAAUUACCGUCCUAUUUUCACCAACCAUACUCAGUUUGAAUCCAAGAAAAACACUGCUACACUUCCUCCUCAGUCAAGAAAACAUUUUCAUGCUUCAAUAAAUAUCCAUACUGUCCGAGCCUCUCUGGUUCCUCCAUCUGCUGGAUCUGGCAGACCUAAUUUGCCUACUUUGUUGGAUAUUUUCUGUUUUUAUCUCUUUCAUACUCAUAGAUGCAGUUUUUUCUUUACUGCUCCUGCACUAUUUUUGGAAUAU